rnacentral:rRNA from 1 species
GAACGUCGUGAGACAGUUCGGUCCCUAUCUGCCGUGGGCGCUGGAGAACUGAGGGGGGCUGCUCCUAGUACGAGAGGACCGGAGUGGACGCAUCACUGGUGUUCGGGUUGUCAUGCCAAUGGCACUGUCCGGUAGCUAAAUGCGGAAGAGAUAAGUGCUGAAAGCAUCUAAGCACGAAACUUGCCCCGAGAUGAGUUCUCCCUGACCCUUUAAGGGUCCUGAAGGAACGUUGAAGACGACGACGUUGAUAGGCCGGGUGUGUAAGCGCAGCGAUGCGUUGAGCUAACCGGUACUAAUGAACCGUGAGGCUUAACCUUACAACGCCGAAGCUGUU